CAGCAGCCGCGGUAAUACCGGCGGCCCGAGUGGCGGUCACUAUUAUUGGGCUUAAAGCGUCCGUAGCCGGGUUGGGAAGUCCUCCGGGAAAUCUGGCCGCUUAACGGUCAGAAUGCCGGAGGAUACUCCCAGCCUAGGGAGCGGGAGAGGCCGAGGGGAUUCCCGGAGGAGGGGGGAAAUCCUAUAAUCCCGGGAGGACCACCUGUGGCGAAGGCGCUCGGCUGGAACGCGUCCGACGGUGAGGGACGAAGGCCAGGGGAGCAAACCGGAUUAGAUACCCGGGUAGUCCUGGCUGUAAACGAUGCGGACUUUGUGUCGGACAAGCUAUGAGCUUGUCCGGUGCCGGAGGGAAACCGUUAAGUCCGCCGCCUGGGGAGUACGGCCGCAAGGUUGAAACUUAAAGGAAUUGGCGGG
rnacentral:rRNA from 1 species